rnacentral:rRNA from 1 species
AUUGAACGCUGGCGACAUGCCUUACACAUGCAAGUCGAACGGCAGCACGGGUGCUCGCACCUGGUGGCGAGUGGCGAACGGGUGAGUAAUACAUCGGAACGUACCUUAUCGUGGGGGAUAACGCAGCGAAAGCUGUGCUAAUACCGCAUACGCCCUGAGGGGGAAAGCGGGGGAUCGAAAGACCUCGCGCGAUUAGAGCGGCCGAUGCCUGAUUAGCUUGUUGGUGGGGUAAAAGCCCACCAAGGCGACGAUCAGUAGCUGGUCUGAGAGGACGAUCAGCCACACUGGGACUGAGACACGGCCCAGACUCCUACGGGAGGCAGCAGUGGGGAAUUUUGGACAAUGGGGGCAACCCUGAUCCAGCAAUGCCGCGUGAGUGAAGAAGGCCUUCGGGUUGUAAAGCUCUUUUGUCAGGGAAGAAACACCGGCUCUAACACAGUCCGGGAAUGACGGUACCUGAAGAAUAAGCACCGGCUAACUACGUGCCAGCCGCCGCAGUAA